UGCGGUCUGCGCUUCCCGACAGGGUUCACAAUCCCCGGGGCCUUAAUCGAUCUCAGGGGAGCUGUCCCUGCUUGAGCCCGUGGGUUCUUGCAUAUGGCGCCCACCUACAGUGUAGGUUCCCGGGAUCGUAUAUAAUCCAUCGGUUGUCGCGGAUCGCAU
rnacentral:other from 1 species